UACGUAGGGGGCAAGCGUUGUCCGGAAUCAUUGGGCGUAAAGAGCGUGUAGGCGGCCCGAUAAGUCCGCCGUGAAAGUCCAGGGCUCAACCCUGGGAUGCCGGUGGAAACUGUCGGGCUAGAGCCCGGAAGAGGCGAGUGGAAUUCCUGGUGUAGCGGUGAAAUGCGCAGAGAUCAGGAGGAACACCAAUGGCGAAGGCAGCUCGCUGGGACGGUACUGACGCUGAGACGCGAAAGCGUGGGGAGCAAACAGG
rnacentral:rRNA from 1 species